rnacentral:rRNA from 1 species
UACGGAGGAUCCAAGCGUUAUCCGGAUUUAUUGGGUUUAAAGGGUGCGUAGGUGGCCUGUUAAGUCAGGGGUGAAAGACGGUAGCUCAACUAUCGCAGUGCCUUUGAUACUGACGGGCUUGAAUGAACUAGAGGUAGGCGGAAUGUGACAAGUAGCGGUGAAAUGCAUAGAUAUGUCACAGAACACCAAUUGCGAAGGCAGCUUACUAUGGUUUUAUUGACACUGAGGCACGAAAGCGUGGGGAUCAAACAGG